rnacentral:sRNA from 1 species
AUGGCUGUCGUCAGCUCGUGCCGUGAGGUGUUGCCUUAAGUGGCGCAACGAGCGCAACCCCUGUCCUUAGUUGCCAGCGGGUAAUGCCGGGAACUCUAGGGAGACUGCCGGUGCCAAACCGGAGGAAGGUGGGGAUGACGUCAAGUCAUCAUGCCCCUUAUGUCCAGGGCUGCACACAUGCUACAAUGCGCGAUACAGAGGGUUGCGAUCCCGCAAGGGGGAGCGAAUCCCAAAAAGUCGCGCUCAGUUCGGAUCGGGGUCUGCAACUCGACCCCGUGAAGUCGGAGUCGCUAGUAAUCGCAGAUCAGCAAUGCUGCGGUGAAUACGUUCCCGGGCCUUGUACACACCGCCCGUCACGCCAUGGAAGCUGGGGGGACCUGAAGCCGGUGGGCUAACUCGCAAGAGGGGCAGCCGCCAAAGGUCAAUUCAGUGACUGGGGCGAAGUCGUAACAAGGUAGCCGUAGGGGAACCUGCGGCUGGAUCACCUCCUUUCUGGAAUACCGAGUAAGGCGAAUCUUCGGAUUCGUGAUGAAAGGUUUCUGGUGUCGCCUGCACUACGGUCGGCUUUCUCCCAAUUCUUCACUUUCAGCUCUUUGACAACUGAAGGUGGGAUGGUGUGCGGAUUUAACUUGAUUCCGAGUUAAGUCCGGGGAAGGAAUCAACACCGAGAACAAACAGAUCAAACACAAGUAGUGAGAUCAAACGCAAUAAGGCACACGGUGGAUGCCUUGGCAUCGAGAGGCGAUGAAGGGCGCGGUAAGCUGCGAUAAGCCUGGGGGAGCUGCACACGAGCUGUGAUCUCAGGAUGCCCGAAUGGGGAAACCCGG